rnacentral:rRNA from 1 species
ACUCAGGUGUUGUUGGGUAGGGGAGCGUUCUGUAAGCCUGCGAAGGUGGCCUGUGAGGGUUGCUGGAGGUAUCAGAAGUGCGAAUGCUGACAUAAGUAACGAUAAAGCGGGUGAAAAGCCCGCUCGCCGGAAGACCAAGGGUUCCUGUCCAACGUUAAUCGGGGCAGGGUGAGUCGACCCCUAAGGCGAGGCCGAAAGGCGUAGUCGAUGGGAAACGGGUUAAUAUUCCCGUACUUGGUGUUACUGCGAAGGGGGGACGGAGAAGGCUAUGUUGGCCGGGCGACGGUUGUCCCGGUUUAAGCGUGUAGGUGUGUGUUCCAGGUAAAUCCGGUUCACUUUAACACUGAGGCGUGAUGACGAGGCACUACGGUGCUGAAGCAACAAAUGCCCUGCUUCCAGGAAAAGCCUCUAAGCAUCAGGUAACAUCAAAUCGUACCCCAAACCGACACAGGUGGUCAGGUAGAGAAUACCAAGGCGCUUGAGAGAACUCGGGUGAAGGAACUAGGCAAAAUGGUGCCGUAACUUCGGGAGAAGGCACGCUGACACGUAGGUGAAGUGAUUUACUCA